AUGCCCGCUUUGGCAGCACAUACACUGAAAUUGGAACAAUACAGAGAAGAUUAGCAUGACCCCUGCGCAAGGAUGACAUGCAAAUUUGUAAAGUGUUCCAUUUUUUA
ensembl:snRNA U6 U6 spliceosomal RNA